rnacentral:rRNA from 1 species
AUGAACGCUAGCUACAGGCUUAACACAUGCAAGUCGAGGGGCAUCAGGAAGAAAGCUUGCUUUCUUUGCUGGCGACCGGCACACGGGUGAGUAACACGUAUCCAACCUGCCCUUUACUCGGGGAUAGCCUUUCGAAAGAAAGAUUAAUACCCGAUAGCAUAAUGAUUCCGCAUGGUUUCAUUAUUAAAGGAUUCCGGUAAAGGAUGGGGAUGCGUUCCAUUAGGUUGUUGGUGGGGUAACGGCCCACCAAGCCUUCGAUGGAUAGGGGUUCUGAGAGGAAGGUCCCCCACAUUGGAACUGAGACACGGUCCAAACUCCUACGGGAGGCAGCAGUGAGGAAUAUUGGUCAAUGGGCGCUAGCCUGAACCAGCCAAGUAGCGUGAAGGAUGAAGGCUCUAUGGGUCGUAAACUUCUUUUAUAUAAGAAUAAAGUGCAGUAUGUAUACUGUUUUGUAUGUAUUAUAUGAAUAAGGAUCGGCUAACUCCGUGCCAGCAGCCGCGGUAAUACGGAGGAUCCGAGCGUUAUCCGGAUUUAUUGGGUUUAAAGGGAGCGUAGGUGGACUGGUAAGUCAGUUGUGAAAGUUUGCGGCUCAACCGUAAAAUUGCAGUUGAUACUGUCAGUCUUGAGUACAGUAGAGGUGGGCGGAAUUCGUGGUGUAGCGGUGAAAUGCUUAGAUAUCACGAAGAACUCCGAUUGCGAAGGCAGCUCACUGGACUGCAACUGACACUGAUGCUCGAAAGUGUGGGUAUCAAACAGGAUUAGAUACCCUGGUAGUCCACACAGUAAACGAUGAAUACUCGCUGUUUGCGAUAUACAGUAAGCGGCCAAGCGAAAGCAUUAAGUAUUCCACCUGGGGAGUACGCCGGCAACGGUGAAACUCAAAGGAAUUGACGGGGGCCCGCACAAGCGGAGGAACAUGUGGUUUAAUUCGAUGAUACGCGAGGAACCUUACCCGGGCUUAAAUUGCAGUGGAAUGAUGUGGAAACAUGUCAGUGAGCAAUCACCGCUGUGAAGGUGCUGCAUGGUUGUCGUCAGCUCGUGCCGUGAGGUGUCGGCUUAAGUGCCAUAACGAGCGCAACCCUUAUCUUUAGUUACUAACAGGUCAUGCUGAGGACUCUAGAGAGACUGCCGUCGUAAGAUGUGAGGAAGGUGGGGAUGACGUCAAAUCAGCACGGCCCUUACGUCCGGGGCUACACACGUGUUACAAUGGGGGGUACAGAAGGCAGCUAGCGGGUGACCGUAUGCUAAUCCCAAAAGCCUCUCUCAGUUCGGAUCGAAGUCUGCAACCCGACUUCGUGAAGCUGGAUUCGCUAGUAAUCGCGCAUCAGCCACGGCGCGGUGAAUACGUUCCCGGGCCUUGUACACACCGCCCGUCAAGCCAUGGGAGCCGGGGGUACCUGAAGUACGUAACCGCAAGGAUCGUCCUAGGGUAAAACUGGUGACUGGGGCU